rnacentral:rRNA from 1 species
AACGCUGGCGGCGCGCUUAACACAUGCAAGUCGAGCGAGAACCAGGGCUUCGGCUCUGGGGACAGCGGCGAACGGGUGAGUAACACGUGGGUAAUCUGCCCUCGGCAUCGGGAUAGCCCGGGGAAACCCGGAUUAAUACCGAAUAGCCUCCGGAGCCUUCGGGCGUCGGAGAAAAGGUAGCUUCGGCCUCUGGCCGAGGAUGAGCCCGCGGCGGAUUAGCUCGUUGGCGGGGUAACGGCCCACCAAGGCGACGAUCCGUAGCUGGUCUGGGAGGGCGCUCAGCCACACUGGGACUGAGACACGGCCCAGACUCCUACGGGAGGCAGCAGUGGGGAAUCUUGCGCUAAUGCGGGAAACCGUGACGCAGCGACGCCGCGUGAGGGAAGAAGGCCUUCGGGUUGUAAACCUCUUUCAGGAGGGACGAAGCUACUCGGGUUAAUAGCCCAGAGGGUGACGGUACCUCCAGAAGAAGCCCCGGCUAACUACGUGCCAGCAGCCGCAGUAACAC